rnacentral:rRNA from 1 species
AGAGUUUGAUUAUGGCUCAGGACGAACGCUGGCGGCAUGCCUAACACAUGCAGGUCGAACGGGUGUAGCAAUACACUAGUGGCGAACGGGUGAGUAACACGUGAGCAACCUGCCUUCCACUGGGGAACAACGUUGGGAAACCGACGCUAAUACCGCAUAAGACCACAGAGGGGAAUCCCUUAGGGGUAAAAACUACGGUGGUGGAAGAUGGGCUCGCGGCCAAUUAGCUAGUAGGCGGGGUAACGGCCCACCUAGGCGACGAUUGGUAGCCGACCUGAGAGGGUGAACGGCCACACUGGGACUGAGAUACGGCCCAGACUCCUACGGGAGGCAGCAGUGGGGAAUAUUGGGCAAUGGGCUAACGCCUUACCCAGCAAUGCCGCGUGAGUGAUGAAGGUCUUCGGAUUGUAAAGCUCUUUAGUUAGGGAAGAAAAAAAUGACGGUACCUAAAGAAUAAGCCCCGGCUAACUACGUGCCAGCAGCCGCGGUAAUACGUAGGGGGCAAGCGUUGUUCGGAAUGACUGGGCGUAAAGGGUGCGUAGGCGGCUUAAUAAGUUGCAAGUGUAAUACCUCGGGCUUAACCCAGGUGCUGCUUGCAAAACUGUUGGGCUUGAGUAGAGAAGAGGUGAGCGGAAUUUCCGGUGUAGCGGUGGAAUGCGUAGAUAUCGGAAGGAACAUCUGCGGCGAAGGCGGCUCACUGGUCUCACACUGACGCUGAGGCACGAAAGUGCGGGGAGCAAACAGGAUUAGAUACCCUGGUAGUCCGCACCGUAAACGAUGGAUACUAGAUGUGGGGGGUAUCGACUCCCUCCGCGUCGCAGUUAACACAAUAAGUAUCCCGCCUGGGGAGUACGGCCGCAAGGUUGAAACUCAAAGAAAUUGACGGGGACCCGCACAAGCAGCGGAGCAUGCGGUUUAAUUCGAAGCAACGCGAAAAACCUUACCAAGACUUGACAUCCUGCGCCACGCCCCCAAAAGGGCGCUUCCGAAAGGACGCAGAGACAGGUGUUGCAUGGUUGUCGUCAGUUCGUGUCGUGAGAUGUUCGGUUAAGUCCGGCAACGAACGCAACCCUUAUCCUUAGUUGCCAAUAUUUAGCUAGGAACUCUGAGGAGACCGCCGUGGAUAACACGGAGGAAGGUGGGGAUGACGUCAAAUCAUCACGGCCCUUACGUCUUGGGCUACACACGUGCUACAAUGGCUAUUACAAAGAGCAGCAAACUCGUAAGAGGGAGCAAAUCUCAAAAAGAUAGUCUCAGUUCGGAUUGAGGGCUGAAACCCGCCCUCAUGAAGUCGGAGUUGCUAGUAAUCCCGAAUCAGCAUGUCGGGGUGAAUGCGUUCCCGGGUCUUGUACACACCGCCCGU